rnacentral:rRNA from 1 species
AGAGUUUGAUCCUGGCUCAGAUUGAACGUUGGCGGCACGCCUAAUACAUGCAAGUCGAACGAGAAAGCACCUCGGUGUGAGUACAGUGGCGGACGGGUGAGUAACGCGUAGGAAUCUACCUAGUAGUGGGGGACAACUCGGGGAAACUCGAGCUAAUACCGCAUACGCUCUAAGGAGGAAAGUGGGGGACCUUUGGGCCUCACGCUAUUAGAGGAGCCUGCGUUAGAUUAGCUAGUUGGUGAGGUAAAGGCUCACCAAGGCUACGAUCUAUAGCUGGUCUGAGAGGACGAUCAGCCACACUGGAACUGAGACACGGUCCAGACUCCUACGGGAGGCAGCAGUAGGGAAUCUUGGGCAAUGGGCGAAAGCCUGACCCAGCGAUGCCGCGUGUGCGAAGAAGGCCUUAGGGUUGUAAAGCACUUUCAGUUGCGAAGAAAAGCUGCGAUUUAAUACAUCGCGGUCUUGACGUUAACAACAGAAGAAGUACCGGCUAACUCCGUGCCAGCCGCCGCGGUAAUAC